rnacentral:rRNA from 1 species
UACGAAGGGGGCUAGCGUUGCUCGGAAUCACUGGGCGUAAAGCGCACGUAGGCGGAUUGUUAAGUCAGGGGGUGAAAUCCUGGAGCUCAACUCCAGAACUGCCUUUGAUACUGGCGAUCUCGAGUCCGGGAGAGGUGAGUGGAACUGCGAGUGUAGAGGUGAAAUUCGUAGAUAUUCGCAAGAACACCAGUGGCGAAGGCGGCUCACUGGCCCGGUACUGACGCUG